UGGGGAAUAUUGGACAAUGGGCGCAAGCCUGAUCCAGCCAUGCCGCGUGGAUGAUGAAGGCCCUAGGGUUGUAAAGUCCUUUCGACGGGGAAGAUAAUGACGGUACCCGUAGAAGAAGCCCCGGCUAACUUCGUGCCAGCAGCCGCGGUAAUACGAAGGGGGCUAGCGUUGCUCGGAAUCACUGGGCGUAAAGCGCACGUAGGCGGACUCUUAAGUCGGUGGUGAAAUCCUGGAGCUCAACUCCAGAACUGCCUUCGAUACUGAGAGUCUCGAGUCCGAGAGAGGUGAGUGGAACUGCGAGUGUAGAGGUGAAAUUCGUAGAUAUUCGCAAGAACACCAGUGGCGAAGGCGGCUCACUGGCUCGGUACUGACGCUGAGGUGCGAAAGCGUGGGGAGCAAACAGGAUUAGAUACCCAAGUAGUCCCUGAGCGGGCUGGCAAGGCGCAU
rnacentral:rRNA from 1 species